ACCCAAUAGAUACCCUGGUAGUCCUGGCCGUAAACGAUGUCGACUAGAUCGCAGUGCCUCUGAUGGUAUUGCGGUCGAAGCAAAAGUGCUAAGUCGACCGCCUGGGAAGUACGGUCGCAAGGCUAAAACUCAAAGAAAUUGACGGGGGCUCACACAAGCGGUGGAGCAUGUGGUUCAAUUCGAAGCAACGCGCAGAACCUUACCUGGGCUUGACAUGCCAGGAUUAUCCCUAUGAAAGUAGGGUAGGCCCUUCGGGGUACAACUGGUACAGGUGCUGCAUGGCUGUCGUCAGCUCGUGUCGUGAGAUGUCGGGUUAAGUCCCUUAACGAGCGAAACCUUUGCCCUUAGUUACCAGCGGGUUAUGCCGGGGACUCUAAGGGGACUGCCGGUGUCAAACCGGAGGAAGGUGGAGAUGACGUCAAGUCCUCAUGGCCUUUAUGCCCAGGGCCACACACGUGCUACAAUGGGGUGCACAAAGCGAACCAAGAGCGCAAGCUGGCGGAAAUCGCAGAAACCACCCCCAGUUCAG
rnacentral:rRNA from 1 species